UACGUAGGGGGCAAGCGUUGUCCGGAAUUAUUGGGCGUAAAAGAGCUCGUAGGCGGUCUGUCGCGUCGGCUGUGAAAUCCCGAGGCUCAACCUCGGGUCUGCAGUCGAUACGGGCAAACUAGAGUAUUGCAGGGGAGACUGGAAUUCCUGGUGUAGCGGUGAAAUGCGCAGGAUAUCAGGAGGAACACCGGUGGCGAAGGCGGGUCUCUGGGCAAUAACUGACGCUGAGGAGCGAAAGCGUGGGGAGCGAAACAGG
rnacentral:rRNA from 1 species